CGCAUGGCUGCGGUCUCCCGUGCGCGUCGGACGGUAACAUUUCUAGCUUGCUAGAAGAUGACGAGUGGCGGACGGGUGAGUAAUGCUUGGGAACUUGCCUUUGCGAGGGGGAUAACAGUUGGAAACGACUGCUAAUACCGCAUAAUGUUUUCGAACCAAACGGGGCUUCGGCUCCGGCGCAAAGAGAGGCCCAAGUGAGAUUAGCUAGUUGGUGAGGUAACGGCUUACCAAGGCGACGAUCUCUAGCUGUUCUGAGAGGAAGAUCAGCCACACUGGGACUGAGACACGGCCCAGACUCCUACGGGAGGCAGCAGUGGGGAAUAUUGCACAAUGGGGGAAACCCUGAUGCAGCCAUGCCGCGUGUGUGAAGAAGGCCUUCGGGUUGUAAAGCACUUUCAGUUGUGAGGAAAAGUUAGUAGUUAAUACCUGCUAGCCGUGACGUUAACAACAGAAGAAGCACCGGCUAACUCCGUGCCAGCAGCCGCGGUAAUACGGAGGGUGCGAGCGUUAAUCGGAAUUACUGGGCGUAAAGCGCACGCAGGCGGUUUGUUAAGCUAGAUGUGAAAGCCCCGGGCUCAACCUGGGAUGGUCAUUUAGAACUGGCAGACUAGAGUCUUGGAGAGGGGAGUGGAAUUCCAGGUGUAGCGGUGAAAUGCGUAGAUAUCUGGAGGAACAUCAGUGGCGAAGGCGACUCCCUGGCCAAAGACUGACGCUCAUGUGCGAAAGUGUGGGUAGCGAACAGGAUUAGAUACCCUGGUAGUCCACACCGUAAACGCUGUCUACUAGCUGUGUGUGCCUUUAAGGCGUGCGUAGCGAAGCUAACGCGAUAAGUAGACCGCCUGGGGAGUACGGCCGCAAGGUUAAAACUCAAAUGAAUUUGACGGGGGCCCGCACAAGCGGUGGAGCCAUGGUGGUUUAAUUCGAUGCAACGCGAAGAACCUUACCUACACUUGACAUGCUGAGAAGUUACUAGAGAAUAGUUUCGUGCCUUCGGGAACUCAGACACAGUGCUGCAUGGCUGUCGUCAGCUCGUGUCGUGGGAGAUAGUGUUGGGGUUAAGUCCCGCAACGAGCGCAACCCUUGUCCUUAGUUGCCAGCAUUAAGUUGGGCACUCUAAGGAGACUGCCGGUGACAAA
rnacentral:rRNA from 1 species